rnacentral:rRNA from 1 species
ACACCGGCGGCCCGAGUGGUGAUCGUGAUUAUUGGGUCUAAAGGGUCCGUAGCCGGUUUGGUCAGUCCUCCGGGAAAUCUGAUAGCUCAACUAUUAGGCUUUCGGGGGAUACUGCCAGACUUGGAACCGGGAGAGGUAAGAGGUACUACAGGGGUAGGAGUGAAAUCUUGUAAUCCCUGUGGGACCACCUGUGACGAAGGCGUCUUACCAGAACGGGUUCGACGGGGAGGGACGAAAGCGGGGGGCACGAACCGGAUUAGAUACCCGGGUAGUCCCAGCCGUAAACGAUGCUCGCUAGGUGUCAGGCAUGGCGCGACCGUGUCUGGUGCCGCAGGGAAGCCGUGAAGCGAGCCACCUGGGAAGUACGGCCGCAAGGCUGAAACUUAAAUGAAUUGGCGGGG